rnacentral:rRNA from 1 species
UACGGAGGGUGCAAGCGUUAUUCGGAAUUAUUGGGCGUAAAGGGCGCGUAGGCGGCUUGGCAAGUGGAAGGUGAAAUCCCUCGGCUUAACCGAGGAACUGCCCUCCAAACUGCUUCGCUUGAGACCGGGAGAGGUGAGUGGAAUUCCCAGUGUAGCGGUGAAAUGCGUAGAUAUUGGGAGGAACACCAGUGGCGAAGGCGGCUCACUGGACCGGUACUGACGCUGAUGCGCGAAAGCGUGGGGAGCAAACGGG